UUUCCUUAAAAUUUUUUGUUGCUUUGGAAAAGGCAUCCAAUGAGCUAAACUAUGAUGCAUUCAGGAAAUUGAAUUAGAAGAACUUAGAGGUCUAUUUGUUGCAGAUAAGCUAUACUGCUAGAUAAACAUUCAUAGACUAUGUGGAAGAAAGCCCAGUUGUCCCAGUGGCUCUAGAUAUGAGACCGAGCCAAUAUAUUUAGAGCUACCUACCCAAUCUGCAGUUCAUCAAAAACAGAGAUCAUUGGCGCAAUCAAAGACUUGGAAAUGGAAGGAUGGCAUCUCUCCUUUCCCGUUUUCUGCCUCUUUGGCUUGGA